UUUUUUUUCUCUUGCAUCCCAUGCUUAAAAUACUACUGGGAUUAAAAAUUAGAAGUUGCUGUCCCAUAAUAGACCACACUGACCUCUAUAUUUCAGCAGUGCUGCUAGGAUCAGCAUGCAAAUGACAUUGUUAGAUCUCAGUGCAACUCGGAAGCCUGCAUUUUGCUUUAGUGUGCUGCCCUACCUGACCCUCAACUAUCUGCCCUAAAAUACACUGUGUUUUUAAGCAACUGCCACACUGCUACCAUCAUCCUUCUUUUAAAGGCUCCAGCAUUGAAGACUCCCUCCAAGUCAGGUUGUCAGGUCCCUAUCUAGCUGAAAAGGAGAGAGUUUUGCAGCUCUGCCUUCCCCAAGCCCUCACCAAAAUAAGCCCUAUAGGAGCCCAGAGAGAUGCUCGGAGAGAUCCCCACAGGCUCCAUUGGUCACUAUCAUCUCCACCGCUCCUCCCCAUGUUUCAAACUCUUACUAAGAGGGUGUCCAAACAGUUAAUUCCCUGUGUCUGUCCAUGCCUUGCAGCAUUUCACAAUGCUAUUGUCAUCCUAGAAGGCAAGAACACAGAAGUAGGAGUUUCCUUUUUUUUUGGUGGCAUCUUUAUUUAACUGCCUCUGUGGUCCAUUUUAACUCCCUCCUUUCCAGCCAGUUGUUUCCAACAGCGGAGCGGCAGAGCCCCGGCACCAGCGCCACCUCCAGCCCAUGCUCCUUCGCCUGUCCCAGAGAUUGUAUCUUUCUUCUAAGUCAUGAGUAAACCCCUUCUUCUGUCAUGGCGUCCAGGUUUUCCCUUACAAGCAGAGGAAAGGUUGGUGGGCUGAGGUGGGUUGGAGGAGAAGACACCAAUCUGCAGCUCUGGAGUCAGCGUGGCUGAUACCCCUUCCCUAAGUCAAAGGGGCUUUCUGAGGAUAAUUAUGUUUCGGAUGUAAAGAUGCCUUCGUGUAGCAUGAAGAACCAUGAAAGAACUACGGGUAGCUCCAGUGGCAGCAUGUUAAGAUACUUUUUAUGGUGAUCCUUCUUAAAAAAAACAAAUUAAAAAAAAAAAAA
rnacentral:lncRNA from 1 species